rnacentral:lncRNA from 1 species
UCCACUUGUCUCCAUCUUCAUCAGCAAAAGAACAAACAAACAAUCUUUAUACACACAAUUCACAUAAGCAUUUUCAAUACAAAACACUACGAAGAGAAGAGUCUCAAAACCGUUACAUAUGAGCACGGAUUGGGGACCAGUGAUUGUAGCGGUGUCACUCUUCAUCCUACUCUCACCAGGACUACUCUUCCAGCUUCCUGCGAGGACUAGAGUGGUUGAAUUUGGAAACAUGACCACAAGCGGUAUAGCUAUUUUGAUUCACGCAUUUAUAUACUUUUGUAUACUCACAAUCUUGGUGAUUGCUAUACAAAUUCACAUCCAUUUCUAAAUUUCCAAUGUAUGUACAAAUCUGUAGUCUUUCUACAACAUUUCUCCUCUUCCUUUAGCUUCAACUGUUCGCUACUGCUAAUAAAAAGUUGUAAUUUUUAACAAAAGCUAAGCAAAUAAAAACACAUUUCAGUAAAAGUAACAAACUAAUACAUUUGAGUAACGAUACAUCACAAUACAAACACAACCCUUUUCACCAAAUCUGUUUUGUUACAACAACUAUGAAAGAAAAAAAAAAAAAAAAAAACUCUAAUUUUAUAGAGUUUCUUCUAGUUCUAAAAACCCAUUUUUCAAAAAAGGGCAAACCUUUAUUUUAAAAAACAACAAAAAAGAGAUAGUGAAGAGACAGAGGAUGAGAUCAGAUUCUCUCAGCCAGUGUAGAUGUGGAGAUUAACAGCGAGGAUCAAAAUGGAGUAAAGAGCGAAGAAGAUGAGAGUGUGAACAGCAAUGGCUUUGCCGUUGGUUUUGAGACCACCGAAAUCUACAGUGCGGUUGUUACCAGGUAUUGAAAAGAGAAGACCCGGUGAGAGAAGCACGAACAGGACCACACCGACGAGAACUGGAGCCCAAUCCGCCAUUAAAGUCAAAAACGAAAAAAAAAAAAGGUUACAAUUUUAGGAAGCGGUGGAGAUUGAAGAAACUAGAAAGAAGGAAAGAGGAAAGUUUUAUGGUUUGUGGCUGCUGUUUUUUUUUUU